GUGAGGAAUAUUGCGCAAUGGAGGCAACUCUGACGCAGCCAUGCCGCGUGCAGGAAGAAGGCGCUACGCGUUGUAAACUGCUUUUAACCGGGAAGAAACCCCAGGACGUGUCCUGGGUUGACGGUACCGGAGGAAUAAGCACCGGCUAACUUCGUGCCAGCAGCCGCGGUAAUACGAAGGGUGCAAGCGUUAUCCGGAUUUAUUGGGUUUAAAGGGUGCGUAGGUGGAUUGAUAAGUCAGCGGUGAAAGUUUGCAGCUUAACUGUAGACUUGCCAUUGAUACUGGCGCUCUUGAGUGCGCUUGAAGUGGGCGGAAUGUGCCGUGUAGCGGUGAAAUGCUUAGAUAUGGCACAGAACACCAAUUGCGAAGGCAGCUCACUAAGGCGAUACUGACGCUGAGGCACGAAAGCGUGGGGAUCGAACAGGAUUAGAAACCCCUGUAGUCC
rnacentral:rRNA from 1 species